ACUCCCGUAGCUCAAGUGGUAGAGCAGCGGUCUCCAAAACCGCAUGUUGCAGGUUCGAUCCCUGCCGGGAGUG
rnacentral:tRNA from 1 species